UAGAGAUGAGAGCUGACGUCAAGAUUCAAGGGCGGUGGUUCAGGUUCUCUUUAACUGUAUUACAUCUCGUUUUGAUAAUUGCAUGUAUUUCUGUUGCAGCGCCUCUAAUAGGCUACACCAACUCCUUUUGCAAUGCCACAAUUGGUGAGUGCCAUGAAGAAACUAUGUAUGUGGAAUCCGACGUGUGUUCAAUUCCUCAAUUCAGCAGCCAACAGACGACAUAUAUUUCUUAUGGUAGUUUUGGAAGGCAGCCAAUUUGCAAUGGAAAAAUAUAUGGCAAUUGCUUAAGACCCGCGGGCAGUAACAAGAGUCGGUCUUGCACUUACUACACGAGAUGCAGGGUUGUUUGAUGAUUAUAAGGAAGCCCAGACGUCUGGAGGCAAGGUUUGCAGUUCUAUGUAAUUGUGCUGAGAAUAAAAUUUCCAUUUAUUAAUUUUGUACUCUAUAAUUUGUAAAAGAAGAAAACCAAAAGCGCUUGCUUAGCAGAUGAUGUUCUUCCUGUUUUUUUUUUACCCCUCAUAUAUGAUGUUCCAGUUGUAUUGUUUUCUUUCUCAGAGGUGGAGAAUCAUCGGAGCUAGGAAG
rnacentral:misc_RNA from 1 species